GACUACCAAGGCUGCGGCGACUUCGUCAAUGUCAAGAUGUUGUGCCGGUUCAGUCUCUCGAAGUUGCUCAUAGAGCUAGGGUGUGCGUGUGUGCGUUCAUGAGGGUCGUCAUCUUUGUCAAAAAGGUACUCCAUCCGUCCCAUAUUAAUUGAUGUUAAAAUGAGUGUAUCCAGUAUUAAAAUCCGUCUAGAUACAUCCAUUUCAGUUUUAAUUAAUAUAGGACAGAGAGGCGAACCAACAUGUGGUUGAGUUAGGAGGACAGUGGUAUUCUCAGCCCAUCAGGGUUCAAGUUCUAAACUUGAUAUUGGUGCUUGCAUUAUUUCUGGCGAUGUUCGUUCAGUGGGAAGAAAUGAUCCUGUCGAUUGCGAGGCGUCUGUGGUGAGUUCGUAAGAUCUCAAGAUGCUAUGUCGGCUCAGUCUACCAGAGGUGCUCAUACGGGUAUGCUGUGCAUGUGUGUGUUAAUAGGAAUGAGUGUAUGCGUGUAUAUAUAAUUAUAUAUGAGCGUUUGCGGCUGUACUGUGUUAAAAAAAUACAAAUUGUAUGUACAUGAUAUUUUUUAAACUAUGUAUGUACAUGAUUUGAUUUGACGGCAGAAACAAGUUUUUUUUUACUAUCUAUAGAAAACCAACCGGCCGCGUGUACCCGCACCGUAUCGAUCCGGUUAAGCCAACCCGAGUCUGCUCGCUUGGCCCAUCCUACCGCUCGGCCACACGAGACAAAGCCGCGCAGGAGGCCUUAGGCGCUGUUCCUUUCCCGGCGAUCGCCGGCGACGGCCCGUCCCGACCUGACCCGGGCAGCGCGGCUGUGUGUCCUUGGCGUGGAAGAUCGUAGGGACAGAGCGGCCGAGCGGGGCUGGUUCGGAGCUGGAUUCGCGCGCUCGUCUGAACUCAGCGCCUGCAUUCGCGCACCAUCCACUCGUCGGCUCCAACAACUGCUUCCGAUCGAGGCGACCCACGCCCGUGGAAUCCUCUCCAGCCAAAAUGGCGCCAGGCUCGGAUGCUCCACAGUAACCACGCUACUCGCGACGGCGGCCUGCUCAGCUCAGCUCAGUUGCCUGCAUCUGCAUUCGGGGUCGGGCGCCCUGCAGGUGUUCGGUGAAUUGCCACGCUAGGGAGAUUGCGCCGUUAAGAGUUGGGUAACGGAUCCAGGACUGCCGACUGGCGAAUGGUUUCGUGGUGAUUAUAUAACAACGACUUGACUCGGCGCGUGGGCGUCGUCGGGACGAAGGUGCCUAGCCUGAGCCUCUGCGGACCGACGUACGUCAGCGGUCAUCGGAGAUCGAAAGUGAAGCAAGGAACCAAGUCUUCCCCGGUCAAUAAACUAAGCUAUUCUAGCCUUGCUUUUUAAGAUGAAGCCGAUCGGAAACAUCGUGAGGAGCACGCGCGUCUUCGUGUAGAUCAUCGUUGGACUUGGAGACAUGCUGUUCGGCCCGGUCAUGAUUCUCUUCUGUUGUCUUUACCACUACGACAGCCUUCCUUCCGUCCUAGGUGUUACUUGGAUAUUUUCUCCGUACGUGUGUUCUUUGGAUCCUCCAUCUCCUUUCUCCUUAUUAUAGGUAUAUAUAUAUAUAUAUAUACAAACCAGGUCUUUUUUUUCUUAAUCAUUGUGAUGCAGAAUGGCGAAUGCCAUGGCAGCGACAGGUGAAAAA